AUGGCGGACCGCCUGGCCAAAAGGAGGUUGCUGCAUCCGGCUGCUUUCCCCUUGUGUGACCGAGUUGAGGAGUCAAUUCAGCACAUCCUUGUGCGGUGUGUCUUUGCCCUGCAGGUCUGGUCUUGUAUUUUCCAAAGACUAGGCCUAAUUGCUGUUGCUCCACAACCCACCACUGGCCGGUUCUCAAGCUGGUGGUGCCAAGUUCUCAAUCAAGUUCCCAAAGAACUCAUAAGAGGGCUUAACUACCUCAUUAUCUUGGUGGCGUGGGAAAUAUGGAAGCAUCAGAACAAUUGCGUUUUCAAUGGCUCUAGGCAAAAUGUUUUCAUGGUGUUGCUGACAGUUGCUAAUGAAUGCACCCUCCGGUGUUCAGCCAGAGCUUUGGCGCUUCGGCAGCUUUUAUGUGGGCUGCUUACCUUGGACAAUUAG
rnacentral:rRNA from 1 species